GAAUAUUGGACAAUGGGGGGAACCCUGAUCCAGCCAUGCCGCGUGUGUGAAGAAGGCCUUUUGGUUGUAAAGCACUUUAAGCGAGGAGGAGGCUACUCUAGUUACUACCUAGAGUUAGUGGACGUUACUCGCAGGAUAAGCACCAGCCAACAACGUCCCAGCAGCCGCGGUAAUACAGAGGGUGCAAGCGUUAAACGGAUUUACGGGGCGUAAAGCGCGCGUAGGUGGCCAAUUAAGUCAAAUGUGAAAUCCCCGAGCUUAACUUGGGAAUUGCAUUCGAUACUGGUUGGCUAGAGUAUGGGAGAGGAUGGUAGAAUUCCAGGUGUAGCGGUGAAAUGCGUAGAGAUCUGGAGGAAUACCGAUGGCGAAGGCAGCCAUCUGGCCUAAUACUGACACUGAGGUGCGAAAGCAUGGGGAGCAAACA
rnacentral:rRNA from 1 species